rnacentral:tRNA from 1 species
UCCGCGGUAGCUCAGUGGUAGAGCAGCCGACUGUUAAUCGGCUGGUCGUAGGWCGCGCGCGCCGGGCUGAAGAA